rnacentral:rRNA from 1 species
GACGCUGGCGGCGUGCCUAACACAUGCAAGUCGAACGCGAACGGGUCUUCGGACCCUAGUAGAGUGGCGCACGGGUGAGUAACACGUGGGCAAUCUACCCAGGGAUUUGGGAUAACCAGGGGAAACCCUGGCUAAUACCGAAUACGUCCAUGAGGCCUUCGGUCCUCAUGGAGAAAGGUGGCCUCUUCUCGAAAGCUGCCGUUCCUGGAUGAGCCCGCGGACCAUUAGCUUGUUGGUGAGGUAACGGCUCACCAAGGCCAUGAUGGUUAGCUGGUCUGAGAGGAUGAUCAGCCACACUGGGACUGACACACGGCCCAGACUCCUACGGGAGGCAGCAGUGGGGAAUCUUGCGCAAUGGGGGAAACCCUGACGCAGCAACGCCGCGUGGGUGAUGAAGGCCCUUGGGUCGUAAAGCCCUGUCUGGAGGAAAGAAUCCCGCUCUCGCUAAUACCGGGAGUGGAUGACGGUACCUCUGAAGGAAGCACCGGCUAACUCCGUG